rnacentral:rRNA from 1 species
CCUACGGGUGGCAGCAGUGAGGAAUAUUUGUCAAUGGACGCAAGUCUGAACCAGCCAUGCCGCGUGCAGGAAGACGGCUCUAUGAGUUGUAAACUGCUUUUGUACGAGGGUAAACGCAGAUACGUGUAUCUUUCUGAAAGUAUCCUACGAAUAAGGAUCGGCUAACUCCGUGCCAGCAGCCGCGGUAAUACGGAGGAUUCAAGCGUUAUCCGGAUUUCUUGGGUUUAAAGGGUGCGUAGGCGGUCGGAUAAGUUAGAGGUGAAAUCCCGAGGCGCAACUUCGGAAUUGCCUCUGAUACUGUUAGGCUAGAGAGUAGUUGAGGUAGGCGGAAUGUAUGGUGUAGCGGUGAAAUGCUUAGAGAUCAUAAAGAACACCGAUUGCGAAGGCAGCUUACCAAGCUACUUCUGACGUUGAGGCACGAAAGCGUGGGGAGCAAACAGGAUUAGAUACCCCGGUAGUC